CAGGUGAGCUGAUUUGGACCUUUUCAUCUUGGUCUGUGCAGAAUUGGAGCCUUUGAAUGAUUUGAAUGGAGCAUAUGUAUGCAUGCUACGGUUCAUCUUAGGAGAGGCACAACCUCUGGCACACCGAAGAGACAGACAUGGCUUCCAUGAAGAAUUUCGUCGAAGUGACUGCGGAUGACCCACAGGACUCCAGCAGCAACCAUAUUAUCAAAAGGUCAAGGAGCAACAAUUUGAUAUGCAUCCGUGAUAAAGAAGGUAAAACUUGAAUAUAGCCUCCUGCAACAUUAUAAGAUUACUUUGUGGUACAAAAUAUCAUGCACUGUCUUACACAUAAUUGUUGGCCAUUCUAAAAAUAUGGAUUCUACAUUGAAUUUGUCUUGGACUUCUUAAUUUAACCUCCGUGCAUGUUCUUAUGACAUUGAAUUUGAGCGAGCGAGCGAGAGGAGUACAUUACUUAUUCCACUUCUAAGCUACGCUUGUGCCCCUGUUCCUACGAAGUGUAUGGACGUGCCUAUAACUAAACAUAAAAAUAGGAUAGACACUAAAUGCUUUGAAGGAGCAGAGAUUGUAACUACACAGAAGCAUCACUAUGUAGGUAAUUGCUAUGAUAGUUAAGAUUAUUGUUGCUUGAUGCCGUGUCUAAGCUGCAGGUAUACCAUUGUUUU